rnacentral:rRNA from 1 species
GAAGGAUGAAAGAACUGUAUCGAGGACUAAAAAGCAAAGACAAGCCCUUACACCUUCUGCAUAAUGCAUUAACUAGAAAUAACUUUACAUAGAGAACUAUGGCCAAGUCCCCCGAAACCAGACGAGCUACCCAAGAAUAGCUGAAAGAGCACACUCACCUAUGUGGCAAAACAGUGGGAAGAUUCAUGAGUAGCGGUGACACGCCUACCGAGCCUGGUGAUAGCUGGCUGGCUUAGUUCAACUUUCAACUUACCCACAGAAUUACUUAAACUCCCUGUAAGUUUAACUGUUAGUCUAGAGAGACAAGACAGCUCUUUAGACCCUUCCUACAGAGAGUAAAAAACAUUACCACCACAGUUGGCCCAAAAGCAGCCACUAAUUAAGAAAGCAUUUAAGCUCAAUAUCUAACUAUCUUAAAUUCUAACCAGUCUACUGAACUCCUAACAUCACAUUGGACUAAUCUAUUACUUAAUAGAAGCAGUAAUGUUAAUAUAAGUAAGAUGAAGACAUUCUCCAUUGCAUAAGCUUACAUCAGACGGGAGUAACCCACUGACAGUUAACAUCCCAAUAUUAAUAAAUGAUAUAAUAAAUACCGUAUUAUUUGCACUGUUAACCCAACACAGGCAUGCUCUAAGGAAACAUUACAAAAAAUAAAAGGAACUCAGCAAAUCUUACCCCGCCUGUUUACCAAAAACAUCACCUCUAGCAUUACCAGUAUUAGAGGCACUAUCUGCCCAGUGACAUAUAUUCAACGGCUGUGGUAUCCUGACCGUGCGAAGGUAGCAUAAUCACUUGUUCUCUAAAUAGGGACUUGAAUGAAUGGCCACACGAGGGUUCAGCUGUCUCUUACUUUCAACCAGUGAAACUGAUCUAUCCGUGAAGAGGCUGAUAUAAACAAAUAAGACGAGAAAACCUUAUGGAGCUUUAAUUCAUCAAUGCAAAUAAAAACUCCAACAAGCCUACAGGCCCUAGCCUCCUAUCCCUGCAUUAAAAAUUUUGGUUGGGGUGACCUCGGAGCAUAAUUCAACCUCCUAACAACCUAAGACCACACUAGUCUAAGUGAGUUAUUACACAUUGACCCAAUAAUUUGAUAAACGGAGUAAGUUACCCUAGGGAUAACAGCGCAAUCCUAUACUAGAGUCCAUAUCGACAAUAGAGUUUACGACCUCGAUGUUGGAUCAGCACAUCCUAAUGGUAUAGCCGCUAUUAAGGGUUUGUUUGUUCAAUGAUUAAAGUCCUAUGUGAUCUGAGUUCAGACCAGAGUAAUCCAGGUCAGUUUCUACCUACUUAACAUUCCUCCU